rnacentral:rRNA from 1 species
AACGUAGGUGGCAAACGUUAUCCGGAAUUACUGGGCGUAAAGGGUGUGCAGGCGGGGAAGCAAGUGGUGUAUGAAAUCUCCCAGCUUAACUGGGAUAGGUUAUGCCAUACUGCUUUUCUAGAGGACGAGAGAGGGGGGUGGAAUUCCGCGUGUAGCAGUGAAAUGCGUAGAGAUGUGGAGGAACACCGAUGGCGAAGGCAGCCCCCUGGGCUAACACUGACGCUCAGGCACGAAAGCGUGGGGAGCAAACAGG